UCCUCUGGUGGGGUCCUCUUCCUGGUGAGU
rnacentral:piRNA from 2 species